UGAGGAAUAUUGGUCAAUGGGCGCGAGCCUGAACCAGCCAAGUAGCGUGAAGGAUGAAGGUCCUACGGAUUGUAAACUUCUUUUAUACGGGAAUAAAGUGGUCCACGUGUGGAUUUUUGCAUGUACCGUAUGAAUAAGCAUCGGCUAACUCCGUGCCAGCAGCCGCGGUAAUACGGAGGAUGCGAGCGUUAUCCGGAUUUAUUGGGUUUAAAGGGAGCGCAGACGGGGGAUUAAGUCAGUUGUGAAAGUUUGCGGCUCAACCGUAAAAUUGCAGUUGAUACUGGUUCCCUUGAGUGCAGUUGAGGCAGGCGGAAUUCGUGGUGUAGCGGUGAAAUGCAUAGAUAUCACGAAGAACCCCGAUUGCGAAGGCAGCCUGCUAAGCUGUAACUGACGUUGAGGCUCGAAAGUGUGGGUAUCAAACAGGAUUAGAUACCCUGGUAGUCCACACGGUAAACGAUGGAUACUCGCUGUUGGCGAUAUACUGUCAGCGGCCAAGCGAAAGCAUUAAGUAUCCCACCUGGGGAGUACGCCGGCAACGGUGAAACUCAAAGGAAUUGACGGGGGCCCGCACAAGCGGAGGAACAUGUGGUUUAAUUCGAUGAUACGCGAGGAACCUUACCCGGGCUUAAAUUGCAGACGAAUUACCUGGAAACAGGUAAGCCGCAAGGCGUCUGUGAAGGUGCUGCAUGGUUGUCGUCAGCUCGUGCCGUGAGGUGUCGGCUUAAGUGCCAUAACGAGCGCAACCCUCGUGGCCAGUUACUAGCAGGUAACGCUGAGGACUCUGGCCAGACUGCCAUCGCAAGAUGCGAGGAAGGUGGGGAUGACGUCAAAUCAGCACGGCCCUUACGUCCGGGGCUACACACGUGUUACAAUGGGAGGUACAGAAGGCAGCUACCCGGCGACGGGAUGCCAAUCUCCAAAGCCUCUCUCAGUUCGGACUGGAGUCUGCAACCCGACUCCACGAAGCUGGAUUCGCUAGUAAUCGCGCAUCAGCCACGGCGCGGUGAAUACGUUCCC
rnacentral:rRNA from 1 species